rnacentral:rRNA from 1 species
CUGCUGCCUCCCGUAGGAGUCUGGGCCGUGUCUCAGUCCCAAUGUGGCCGUUCAACCUCUCAGUCCGGCUACUGAUCGUCGCUUUGGUGGGCCGUUACCCCGCCAACUGGCUAAUCAGACGCGAGCUCAUCUUUGGACGAUAAAUCUUUGGCAGCAAAAUCAUGCGACCCCGCUGCAUCAUGCGGUAUUAGCAGUCGUUUCCGGCUGUUAUCCCCCACCCAAAGGCAGAUUGCUCACGCGUUA